UCAAAUUCAGUGACGGGGAAAGUAGGUUGUGACAAGGCUUAAAGCGAGCCGGAGAAGGUGAGAGUCCGGCAGUACAUCAUUUCUGAAACGUACCCCUGAGAAGAUUCCUUGAAAUCAUAUAGAGAGUAUGGGAAUUCGGCAAUGGCCGUUAUUUUAUUAUGAGUGGGUCCGGCUGCAUAGCGGCGGGCCAAAAAGAGUGGUAACACGGAAGGCUUUCGUCUCUUAU
rnacentral:ncRNA from 1 species